AAUCGAACCCGGAGAUAGCUGGUUCUCCUCGAAAUAGCUUUAGGGCUAGCCUCGAUUUAGUCUUAUGGAGGUAGAGCACUGAAUUUCCGCGGGGGCGUCAAAGCUUACCAAAGAAUAUCAAACUCCGAAUGCCAUGUAGAUGAUGAUCGGGAGUCAGACUGCACGAGAUAAGUUGGGCAGUCAAAAGGGAAAGAGCCCAGACCACCGGCUAAGGUCCCAAAGUGCGUGUUAAGUGGAAAAGGAUGUGGGAAUUCGAAGACAACUAGGAUGUUGGCUCAGAAGCAGCCAUACAUUCAAAGAGUGCGUAACAGCUCACUAGUCGAGAGUUCCUGCGCCGAAAAUGUCCGGGGCUGAAACACGACACCGAAGCCGUGGACUCGCAAUGCGAGUGGUAGAGGAGCAUUCUUAAAACCGACGAAGCUGUACCGUAAGGAGCAGUGGAGGGAUAAGAAGAGAGAAUGCCGGAAUGAGUAGCGAGAGAAAGGUGGGAAUCCUUUCGGCCGAAUAUCUAAGGUUUCCAGAGUAAAGCUGAUCUGCUCUGGGUAAGUCGGGGCCUAAGCACAGGUCGCAAGACGUAAGCGAUGGAUAACAGGUUUAGAUUCCUGUACCACGCAUUAUCAGAACUGUAGGGACGCAUGUGGAAAGCACGGGCCGGGAAUGGAAAGACCGGUACAAGCGGGGUAGGUGUACAAUAGGCAAAUCCGUUGUAUAAUCCGAAGACGUGAUGUGGAGCGAAAUAAAGUAGUGAAGCGUGUGAGCCAUGUGCCGAGAAAAGCUGCUAUUGUGUAAUGCGUGCCCGUACCGUAAACCGACACAGGUGGAUGAGGAGAGAAUCCUAAGGCCGACGGAAGAAGCAUUGUUAAGGAACUCGGCAAAAUGACCCCGUAACUUCGGGAGAAGGGGUGCUCACGCAAGUGAGCCGCAGAGAACUGGCCCAAGCAACUGUUUAGCAAAAACACAGGUCUAUGCAAAACCGAAAGGUGAGGUAUAUGGGCUGACGCCUGCCCGGUGCUGGAAGGUUAAGAGGAGAUGUUAGAGCAAUCGAAGCAUUGAAUUUAAGCCCCAGUAAACGGCGGCCGUAACUAUAACGGUCCUAAGGUAGCGAAAUUCCUUGUCGGGUAAGUUCCGACCCGCACGAAAGGCGUAAUGAUUUGAGCACUGUCUCGACAAUGCAUCCGGUGAAAUUGAAGUACCAGUGAAGAUGCUGGUUACCUGCGCCAGGACGGAAAGACCCCAUGGAGCUUUACUCCAGCUUGAUACUGGGAUUCGAUACUGUAUGUACAGGAUAGGUGGGAGACGUUGAGCAUAGAACGCCAGUUUUAUGUGAGUCGCUGUUGGGAUACCACCCUUGCAGUAUUGGAUUUCUAACCUGCACCCAUGACCUGGGUGGGGGACAAUGUCUGGCGGGGAGUUUGACUGGGGCGGUCGCCUCCGAAAGGGUAUCGGAGGCGCUCAAAGGUUCCCUCAGAAUGGUUGGAAACCAUUCGAAGAGUGCAAAGGCAGAAGGGAGCUUGACUGCGACACCGACGGGUGGAGCAGGUACGAAAGUAGGACUUAGUGAUCCGGUGGUAUGAAAGUGGGAUUGCCAUCGCUCAACGGAUAAAAGCUACCCUGGGGAUAACAGGCUUAUCACUCCCAAGAGUUCACAUCGACGGAGUGGUUUGGCACCUCGAUGUCGGCUCAUCGCAUCCUGGGGCUGUAGUAGGUCCCAAGGGUUGGGCUGUUCGCCCAUUAAAGCGGUACGCGAGCUGGGUUCAGAACGUCGUGAGACAGUUCGGUCCCUAUCCGGCGCGGGCGGAGGAUAUUUGAGAGGAGCUGUCCUUAGUACGAGAGGACCGGGAUGGACGGACCACUGGUGUAUCUGUUGUCGACCAACGGCAUGGCAGAGUAGCCAAGUCUGGAAGGGAUAAACGCUGAAGGCAUCUAAGCGUGAAGCCCCCCUCAAGAUGAGAUAUCCCUCCUUCGGGAGUAAGACCCCUUGA
rnacentral:rRNA from 1 species